AUCAAGAAACAGAACAACAGCAUACGGUCACAUUAAACCUUCUGCAGAUACAGAUGUCCUCUGUCCCAGGCACAGUGGUGCGCACCUGUAAUCCCAGCACUCAGGGAGGCAAGACAUGCAGAUCUCUGUGAGUUCAAGGCCAGCCUGGUCUACAAAGUGAGUCCAGGACAGCCAAGGCUACACAGAGAAACCCUGUCUGGAAAAACCAAAAAGAGCUGUCCUCUGGGAGUGCACACAAGGCUCACCAUUGGCUGACUUCACCUCUGUGCCAUUAGCUGGAUGUAAGCAUCAGCGGUUCUAUCUGGGAGUCUGAAGCCAAAUUAUUACAUGCUAUAAGGCUGCCAAGUAUGCAGAUCAACUCUUGGGGGAGGACACAAUGGCAUAUUUACACCCAGAGGACCAGUCUAGGCCUAUUUGGGUCCCUGCUAGAAAUGUCUGACACCACCUCCCAACUGAAAAGAUGCCCCACCUCUUGCUGGUA